GGUCCCGUAGCUCAGUGGUAGAGCAGCUGACUCUUAAUCAGCGGGCCGUCGGUUCAAACCCGACCGGGAUCACCA
rnacentral:tRNA from 1 species